rnacentral:lncRNA from 1 species
AUGUCCUGUAUGGAAGGACCCUUUGGGAACCUCUCAGGAGUGGGGUCUGGGUCAGGGGCCUGGCCAGCACCUCACUGGUAAUUCCAAGGCACUAGUGGCUUC